rnacentral:rRNA from 1 species
UACCAGCACCCCGAGUGGUCGGGACGAUUAUUGGGCCUAAAGCAUCCGUAGCCGGUUCUACAAGUCUUCCGUUAAAUCCACCUGCUUAACAGAUGGGCUGCGGAGGAUACUAUAGAGCUAGGAGGCGGGAGAGGCAAGCGGUACUUAGUGGGUAGGGGUAAAAUCCGUUGAUCCAUUGAAGACCACCAGUGGCGAAGGCGGCUUGCCAGAACGCACUCGACGGUGAGGGAUGAAAGCUGGG